rnacentral:rRNA from 1 species
CUGGUGGAUUAGUGGCGAACGGGUGAGUAACACGUGAGUAACCUGCCCUUCACUUUGGGAUAACUUCGAGAAAUCGGGGCUAAUACCGGAUAUGACUACUGGCCGCAUGGUUGGUGGUGGAAAGUUUUUCGGUGAGGGAUGGGCUCGCGGCCUAUCAGUUUGUUGGUGAGGUAGUGGCUCACCAAGGCGAUGACGGGUAGCCGGCCUGAGAGGGCGACCGGCCACACUGGGACUGAGACACGGCCCAG